AGAACGAACGCUGGCGGCGCGUCUUAAGCAUGCAAGUCGAGCGGCAAGGCCCUUCGGGGCCCCAGAGCGGCGGACGGGUGAGUAACGCGUGGACAACCUGCCCUUCGGUGGGGGAUAGCCUGCGGAAACGCAGGGUAAUACCGCAUGAGACGCAACGGGCGGAGGCCGGUUGCGGGAAAGGCCCCGAGGGGCCGCCGGGGGAUGGGUCCGCGUCCCAUUAGCUAGACGGCGGGGUGAAGGCCCACCGUGGCGACGAUGGGUAGCCGGCCUGAGAGGGUGGACGGCCACAUUGGAACUGAGACACGGUCCAGACUCCUACGGGAGGCAGCAGCUAAGAAUCUUCCGCAAUGGGCGAAAGCCUGACGGAGCGACGCCGCGUGGACGAUGAAGGCCGUGAGGUUGUAAAGUCCUUUUCGGGGGGGGGAAUGAGGUCCGCAGGGAAUGGCGGGCCGAUGACGUGAACCCCGGAAUAAGCCCCGGCUAAYUACGUGCCAGCAGCCGCGGUAACACGUAGGGGGCGAGCGUUGUUCGGAAUCAUUGGGCGUAAAGGGCGCGCAGGCGGCGAGGCAAGUCCGGUGUGAAAGUGCUCGGCUCAACCGAGUGAUGCGCUGGAAACUGCCCUGCUUGAGUACAGGAGGGGACGUCGGAAUUCCAGGUGUAGGGGUGAAAUCUGUAGAUAUCUGGAAGAACACCSGUGGCGAAGGCGGACGUCUGGCCAUGUACUGACSCUGAGGCGCGAAGGUGCGGGGAGCSAACAGGUUUAGAUACCCUGGUARUCCGCACAGUAAACGAUGUGCACCAGGUGGCGGGGGGUAACCCUCGGUACCGAAGCCAACGCAUUAAGUGCACCGCCUGGGGAGUAUGCUCGCAAGGGURAAACYCAAAGGAAUUGACGGGGGCCCGCACAAGCGGKGGAGCAUGUGGUUUAAUUCGAUGAUACGCGAGGAACCUUACCAGGGCUUGACAUGGGCCGGGAGGCGGGUGAAAGYCCCGCCGCCCUUCGGGGCCGGUCCACAGGUGCUGCAUGGCUGUCGUCAGCUCGUGCUGUGAAGUGUUGGGUUAAGUCCCGCAACGAGCGCAACCCCCGCCGCCCGUUACCAUCGAGUAACGUCGGGGACUCAGGCGGAACUGCCGGUGACAAACCGGAGGAAGGUGGGGACGACGUCAAGUCAUCAUGGCCCUUAUGUCCUGGGCUACACACGUGCUACAAUGGCAGGUACAGAGCGCAGCGAGGCCGCGAGGCGGAGCGAACCGCGAAAAGCCUGUCCCAGUACGGAUUGGGGUCUGCAACCCGACCCCAUGAAGUUGGAAUCGCUAGUAAUCGCGCAUCAGCAUGGCGCGGUGAAUACGUUCCCGGGCCUU
rnacentral:rRNA from 1 species